rnacentral:misc_RNA from 1 species
GGAAGUAAAAGCCGUAACAAGGUUUCCGUAGGUGAACCUGCGGAAGGACCAUUAUUGUAUAACCGAGGUGCGAGGGCUGUCGCUGACCCGAAAGGUCGUGCACGCCCGAGUGCCCUCACACACAUCCAUCUCACCCCUAUGUGCACCACCGCGUGGGUCCCCCUUUGGCUUGUUCGGAGGGGGGCUUACGUUUUCACACAAACUUUGUAUGCAGUGUAGAAUGUAUUUUUUGUUUUUGCGAUCACGCAAUCAAUACAACUUUCAACAACGGAUCUCUUGGCUCUC